CCGCCACCUCCGCCGCCGCACGCCACCACACCGGAAUCAGUGCUCGCUGGGAAAGCAGAGUGGUCUGUGCCCAUUGAGUGGUAGCCAAAGUAGAGGUUCAUGUUCCCGUUGGUCGUGGUUGACUGAGUGGACGCCUGGCCUGGCUUCUUCAUGCGGAGGAACCAAGCGCACCAGUUGAGGAGGAUGACUCGAACCUGGACAAAGAAACAAGAGUUGGAUUACAGACGGAAGAGAUGGGUGAGGCAAAGGGAAGAACCGGACUGGAAAUACCCAGUGAGAUCUUCUCUCCAGAGUCGGCAGGGAGCAGGAAGACCAGCAGGGCCAGACCAGAUAUGAGCACGCAGGGGAUGAGCAGGUUGAGGCCGUAGUACAGCGUCCUGCGGCGCAUGGUGACUGUGAACGUCACAUCGGGCGAAUGUCUCCUGUCUGAAAGCAGAUUUGGCUUUCUGAAGCUGUAGCUGGAAGUUGUUGCCUUUCAUCCUUACUGGAGUUCAGCAAGGUCCCACUCCCCGUUGGGUAUGUAGCUAGAGAUGUCGACGUCCAUCAUCUGGAGGUCAAGCAGCCAGCCAUUGUGAGUCCAGGAACCAAACUUCAGGUCACACUUCUGCACAUCAAAUGGGAACCACCGAACAUCGAUGUAGCAGGUACUCUUCAAGAUGCCUGGAGACCAGUUGGGGAAAGCCACAGUCAGGCUCAAUGGAGGAAAACCUGCCAGCAACACUGGAGCAUUUCUGAUGCCUCAUGGAGGAAAACAUCAGAAAUCUCAACAUACAAGAGUCCUUGAGCUAGAGGUGGCUGCAGUGGAGCACCAGUUCAUCUACAUUAAUGAGGUUGGAUUCAACCUCACAAAAAGACGAAAGAGGGGAAGGAAUAUCAUCGGCCAGCGUGCCAUUGUUGAAGUCCCUGGCCAGCGCGGAGGGUGUGCACAAUGUGUGCAGCGUCAUCCAUCACCAUGCUGCCCUUGGCCUCUACAACACUGCCCAUCUGAUCACACUCCUGGACACCCGACACAACACUCUCAUCCAGCAGGUCAGUUGACGGCCCGAGCACCUCAGGUACGUUGUCAUUUGGGACAACGUAAGUUUCCACCGCGCUGCUCUGGUUCGUAACUGGUUCACUGCCCAUCCACGCUUUUUAGAUGUUUAUCUCCCUCCAUAUUCUCCAUUCCUCAAUCCUAUUGAGGAAUUCUUUUCUGCCUUGAGAUGGAAAGUGUAUGACCGAAAUCCACAAACACGUAUACUCCUUCUCCAAGCUAUGGUAGAUGCAUGUGGAAAUAUAGCAGUUGAUGCUUUUCAUGGCUGGAUUCGCCAUGCAAGGCGAUAUUUCCCCCACUGCUUGGCCAGGGAAAAUAUUGCUUGUGAUGUGGAUGAGGUGCUGUGGCCAGACCGAAACAGAAGAGAGGAUGCAGCAUAGUUGUUUUUUUUACUGUAACUGUACACAGUAAAUUCUUCUGUUGUUUUGUAUGUAGACCACUGUAUGUGCAACUUUGUGUUGGUUGUUUUUGUGGGAAAAAUAAAAUAUUUGUUACUGUGUAUUUGUGUGUUCUGAGUAUAGAAACACUUAUGUAUGUACUGUCUGUAGUAAGUGUAACACUGAACCAAAAAAAGGCCUAAGUCAUUAUGAUGAAUGGAGAAGAAGUGUUUUCCAUUCAUCAUAGUGUUUUACAU